rnacentral:lncRNA from 1 species
CUCGUAAAGACUAAAACCUCGUUACGCCGAAAAUAGUAGAGGUGCGACAGCGCUUUGGUAGUGAGUGGAAACUUACUUUCUGUCUGGUUAGUAGGAAUUUCUUGCCUGCUAAGGGAUUAGUCCAAGUUAGACCGAGAAGUAAGAGUUUGUAAUUGAAGUCGGGGGGGCUGAAUAGAUAAAUUCUCUUCCCACGUAGCGCUAAGAAGCAAGUUCCGACAGCCUAUGAUGAAAUAGCACAAAAAAAAAAAAAGGGCUACGCGAAUAAUAGUGUUAGUAGUUCGUGAGGCUAAUUUUGAGCUAGAUAGUGGAUUGAUGUUCACUGUAGCACUAUCUGACCUUGAAGGUUAAGUUAGUGUACCAUGAACUCCAUCCCACAUAU